CACCCACAGUAAUAAGAGGUGUUGAUUGAAAAACACUAUUCUAAGCCCUCCAUUUCUUUCUGUAGUGGCAGUUGUGAGACAUUGCCUAACUGGACUUGUACAAAGCAUUUGAUGCUGUCCUCUACAACACCCUUGUCUUCAAAUUGGAGAGAAAUUGAUUUGACAGAUGGACUGCUUGGUGGAUAGGGAACUGACUGGAUGGUUACAUGAAGAGAGUUGCAGUCAACAGCUCUAUAUUGCCUGCAUCUCACAUAGAAGAGAAACUGCUAACCUCCUCAUUGCUGAGGGCACGGGAUCAAGAGUAGCUGAGCCUGACCUGUAGUUCAUGGGAGCCAACAGGAACUCAGAAGCGAGCCUGCCACAAGUGUCCAGUCAUGAGGAGCUGAGCCGCUCCAGGAGUGGAUCAGAGCCACUCAGCCUUCCUGCGUGAUGGUAAAUAAAAUGAGCCAGCUCUAUACAAGGAUCACUGCCCCUGAGAACAACUGGCACAGCACAACUAUAGGGUAAGCUGAAUUUCCUCACUCUCUACACAGCAUGGUUGCAUCCAAAAUGCCUUCUUGGAGUCGUCCUUGUUGCAUCUUAAUUUCUAGCUGUAGUUGGAUAUGGUCCAGAAGCACCUGGAAGACUCUGAGUUCAUCCCAAAAAUGCUGCCAGACUUGGGCAGAGACAGCUGAAGAAUUACAGCCUUGUUCCUGGUUCUGCCCAUGCUCCUAUAUCUGGAGCAACUUUAUUCCUCUCUUCAGCUAAGAUCAUCCACCCUCCUUUCUGCAUGCUUCCAACUUACACUUGCAAGACAAAACAUUAGAUCCCUCCAAGGAGCAAUAGUCAUUCUGGUGCCCUGGAUGCUUGACACAUUGGAGAACAGGGUGCUAUCUCAGCAGCAGUUUUCUCCAUGGGCACUACUGUAUGAACCCCAUUAUGGAAAUGACAUCGCAGACCGACUUCUCAUUCUGCACUCCCAGGAAGCUUCAAGAUACCUGAAACAUAUCAGAAACCCAUAUGUUGGCAGCCCUGUCUACGCUUGGGAGCUGAUGUGGAUUCCAGGCCCAGAAACUCUCAUUCCACUAAAAGGAAGAUUAUACUAUUACACUGUAACAAAAUCUUGGGGAUUCAAUUUCCAAAGAGCAUAUUUGCCUUUGUUGGGAGUCCCACGCAUAUCUACUGUGGUAAGAGCAGCACUGUAAUAUCUGCUACUCAAAAGAACAGCAGCUACAAAGAGAACUAGCCACCAACAUCAGCAUCUUCACUUUUAUCUUCAAACAACACAUGGUAUUAAUCUGGAGCCUCGCAUUCCUAAAAGUACUGGAAUCAUGAAGUGAUUUGCUUCCAGCAGGACCCUGAAACACAGAGUAACACAAGGGAAAACAGUCAGAAUGAACAAUCAGAGCAAAAUAUGCCUGCUGUCAAAUAGACUCUAAGCUUUUAGCUUUUCACCCGACAUCACCCAGCUGAUGAUUUGCGGGUCUCAUUCUACUUCCAGCCGCACCGCCUAAGUCGUGGAGGUGGGAGCAGUUACUGUGAGUCACUGAAACUUGGGGCAGCUUCAGAGAGCGACACGUGUUGGGACAGGGCAGGAUUAAUAAGGUCAGAAUCUCAUUCGCACGUCAGUUCUGCUCUGGCAUAAGUAUGUGAUGCACUGCAGCUUGGUCAUGUUUCAGUGGGGUUGCUUCAGAUCUGCUUUACUCUUUGUGAGAUCAGAAUCUGUGGCUGAUAUCGGAUGAAAAGUUAUGGUGACACCGAG
rnacentral:lncRNA from 1 species